rnacentral:rRNA from 1 species
CCUACGGGUGGCAGCAGUGAGGAAUAUUGGUCCAUGGGGGAGAUCCUGAACCAGCCAAGCCGCGUGAGGGAAGACGGCCCUAUGGGUUGUAAACCUCUUUUAUCCGAGAACAAACCCCGUGACGUGUGCCGGACUGCAUGUAUCCGAUGAAAAAGCACCGGCUAACUCCGUGCCAGCAGCCGCGGUAAUACGGAGGUUGCGAGCGUUAUCCGGAUUUAUUGGGUUUAAAGGGUGCGUAGGCGGUCCGUUAAGUAAGUGGUAAAAGUGCGGGGCUCAACCCCGCAGAGCCGUUGAAACUGGCAGACUUGAGUUGGCCAGAAGUACGCGGAAUGCGCGGUGUAGCGGUGAAAUGCAUAGAUAUCGCGCAGAACUCCGAUUGCGAAGGCAGCGUACCGUCGCCAUACUGACGCUGAGGCACGAAAGUGCGGGGAUCGAACAGGAUUAGAUACCCCGGUAGUC